GGUCGAAAGGGCAAACCCGGGGCGACCCGGGGGCGCAAAGCCGACGGGCCUCGAUGAGAGGUGGCCGGGCUGCCGAAA
rnacentral:ncRNA from 1 species